rnacentral:sRNA from 1 species
AAUCUCCAGGCCGCGUGAGAAUUGGCGCUUCCGGUCAUUGACCACGGAUGUACUGGCACUGGCCGUUGAGGCGCUGAAGGAAGGUCGGGGUCACCCGACCUUUUUUGUA